AUCUUCGGACCUCACGUUAUUGGAGCGGCCGAUAUCAGAUUAGCUAGUUGGUGGGGUAAAGGCCUACCAAGGCGACGAUCUGUAGCUGGUCUGAGAGGAUGAUCAGCCACACUGGGACUGAGACACGGCCCAGACUCCUACGGGAGGCAGCAGUGGGGAAUUUUGGACAAUGGGCGAAAGCCUGAUCCAGCCAUGCCGCGUGAGUGAAGAAGGCCUUCGGGUUGUAAAGCUCUUUCAGGUGGAAAGAAAGCGGAUGAGUUAAUACCUUGUCCGGAUGACGGUACCACCAGAAGAAGCACCGGCUAACUACGUG
rnacentral:rRNA from 1 species